GAUUGUGUUGCGACAUAUUAUUAACGAACAUGAAGCUGCUUCUCCUGAUGGUUCUUGCCACACUGUUGACUGAAGAAUGUGUUGUUGCAGAACGGCAACAAAUCAAGCUGGUCCCAACUAGGUAUGCAAGAGCACGGUUCACAAGAUCAAUUACAAAUUAUCGUCGUCGGUUUGGUUUCGCCGGCGGUCUGAGAAGGCGAAGUGUGUCAAGUUCUGGCACUGAAAGAUGAGAUGGAGAGGAACGCGUUCACUAAGAUCCCAAUGUGCAUCAGAACGAAAUGAGCAAUAAAUCAAUUUUGUUCUGCAACACUAGUUCUGAUACAUGUUUUAC